UACGGAGGGAGCUAGCGUUGUUCGGAGUUACUGGGCGUAAAGCGCACGUAGGCGGCUUUUUAAGUCAGGGGUGAAAUCCCGGGGCUCAACCCCGGAACUGCCCUUGAAACUGGAGAGCUAGAAUCUUGGAGAGGCGAGUGGAAUUCCGAGUGUAGAGGUGAAAUUCGUAGAUAUUCGGAAGAACACCAGUGGCGAAGGCGACUCGCUGGACAAGUAUUGACGCUGAGGUGCGAAAGCGUGGGGAGCAAACAGG
rnacentral:rRNA from 1 species